UACGGAGGGUGCAAGCGUUAUCCGGAUUCACUGGGUUUAAAGGGUGCGUAGGUGGGUCUGUAAGUCAGUGGUGAAAUCUCCGGGCUUAACUCGGAAACUGCCGUUGAUACUAUAGAUCUUGAAUAUCGCGUAGGUAAGCGGAAUAUGUCAUGUAGCGGUGAAAUGCUUAGAUAUGACAUAGAACAUCGAUUGCGAAGGCAGCUCGCUACGCUAUUAUUGACACUGAGGCACGAAAAGCGUGGGGGAUCAAAACAGG
rnacentral:rRNA from 1 species